UCCAAAAUUUGCCCCUCCUCCCCCCACCCCCCACCGGGGUCGUCGCCGCCGUCUCAAUAUCAGCGUCGACGCAGCCCACCGGAACUCACCACCGCCAUCAGCGCUAUCGCUCACACUAUCCCCCUGCGCCGUCAACUCCGUCCGAGUCUUUUGAGUAUGCUUUUAUUUCCGGAGGACGCAUCCUGAGUGACUACACAUGAGCAGUUUUUCUUGCUCCAGGGUCGAGCCUCAGAACAACUAGCUAACCUGGACAUAUACGAAAGCACAUCAUUAGAGCCAGAGGGAGAAGAUCAAGCUAGCCGUUCUCAAUCUCGGGACAUGACCGAAUCACAAACCACAGUAACCUCAACCUUGAACAUCCUGCGGAUCAUCUGUCCACUCAAUCUUCUCAUCACGAAGCAGCAAAUCAUUUCCUGCUCAUCAUGAAGUAGCAAAUCAGUUCUGUGCUAGACCACCCAUCGCGUGCAUCCACUCAUGGCUCACAGAAACAUAAACAAAAGUUGGUAAUAUAUAUAAGCAUCCUAUUCUAGACCUCCAGAUCCCAUGCCAAGAAAACUGCACAGAGGUGAAGGCUGGUGAAAAACUAGACAUGAAGCCUUUUUGUCAGCUAAUUUUAAGUUGAUUCAGACAACGCUCGCAACAAAGGUAGAGGAUGAACAAUGAUGGCACUAUGUACCCUUUUUCAUUCAUGGACAUGAUAUGAGAGCAAUGCGGGUAUUCAUGGCCCCCAUUUUUUCCCCAAGCUUUUAGACUGCAAAUAGAGAAGUAAAAUUGUGCCAAGGACUA